rnacentral:lncRNA from 1 species
UGACCAUGAAAUUGGGGUCAAAACUAUAAUUUGGCAUUAAAAUUAGAAAGAUCAUAUCAUGGGGAACAUGUGUACUAAGUUUCAAGUGGAUUGGACUUCAACUUCAUCAAAAACUACCUUGACCAAAAACUUUAACCUGAAGUCGGACGAACGAACGAACGGACGAACGAACAGACGAACGGACGAACGAACGGAGGCACAGACCAGAAAACAUAAUGCCCCUCUACUAUCGUAGGUGGGGCAUAAAAAC